CGGACGGGUGAGUAAUGUCUGGGAAACUGCCUGAUGAGGGGGAUAACUACUGGAAACGGUAGCUAAUACCGCAUAACGUCGCAAGACCAAAGAGGGGGACCUUCGGGCCUCUUGCCAUCGGAUGUGCCCAGAUGGGAUUAGCUAGUAGGUGGGGUAACGGCUCACCUAGGCGACGAUCCCUAGCUGGUCUGAGAGGAUGCCAGCCACACUGGAACUGAGACACGGUCCAG
rnacentral:rRNA from 1 species